UCGCACUCAGCCCAAAUCAAAGCCUUUCUUCCCUUGUCACCACCCACAGGCACAGCCAGCCGCCAUCGCCACCGCACCCAUCCUCCUCUUCUCUGCCCAUCCCCGGCCGCGCCGCUCCUUCUCAACCCAGCGACGACGGCGGCCGAUCUACCUCGAUCUCCACCUCCACGCAUCCAUGGAGGAGGCAUCGAACCCUAGCCCUGUUGGGUCACCGGCGUGGCGCUGGAUCCUCGCCCCGAGAUUCCUCCGUUGUGCGGCCGGACGGAGCAGCAGCGACCACGGCGAGGACCAUCGUCCUCCCUCUUCAAUUAUAUAUGGCCAGAAGCUCGGCGUCAACGAUAGCUCACCGUCAUCCUCUGCAAGCACUCAAGCAGCACCAUGGCCUGGCUGCAGGCCGUCAGGUCGGUUAGCAAUUCGACUACAAUGGUUUCCAUGGGUACUGCCUGCCGGAUGCUCGCCCUGAGACCCCUCCUCGUCUCCUCUGUUGUGCGACCGAAAGGAGCCGCAUCUGGCGUGGGACAUUGUUUGGCGUCGCAGUAUGCCCUGUCCGAGGCAUGUCGUUGGGAACCGGCCUGGGCCAUGAGGGCAGCAAACCUUGAUGGUGCGCUAUACCCGGUGAAGUACAUCCAGUCAGGUCAGGGUCCUGACUGCUUGAGUGAGAAGUAAGAUUUGGGUGGAUUCAGAGCCAGAACAGCAGCCGCAAGAGAGUUUUCAGACAAGGUAGGUAGGUGCCUGACAGGAGCAUCUAUCUGCAGCUUUGCGUCCUCCUCUAAAAGCACUGAAGCACAACCAUGGCCGGGCUGCGGGUGCGUAUAUGCAACAAAGGCCGCUUCUUUUGUUUGCUUAUAGUUUUGACCUUGUAUGUCUCUUGCGAUCCUUGAUGCAGGCUGUCGGGUAGCAAUUCAUGGGUACUGCCUCCUGCUGCCCUCUCUUGCGAUCCUUGAUUUCCAUGGGUACUGCCUCCUGCGAUCCUUGAUUUCUAUGGGUACUGCCUCCUGCGGGUUGUAUGUCUCUUGCGAUCCUUGAUUUCCAUGGGUACUGCCUCCUGCUGCCCUCUCUCCAAACCAGCUACCUUUUUCUUAAUAUAAGAUUCUCAUACAGCGGCAACCUACGUGACGUGUAAAGAAAGUGCAUGACACCAUUGACCGUGACCAUGAAAUUCCGAUAAUAGUAGUUAGACAGUUUGGUUGCUGGAGACCUCAUCUGCCUCCACUUGGCGUCAUCUCCCAGAGUGAGAACCUUCCAAGACUUGUAAUUGAAGUGGACAACCUUGUACACGCCAGACGGGGCGGCACAACCGAUGUUGAAGAGGAAGAACUCUUGGUUCUCCAACUCAACGGUCGCCAUUAUUAGAACACUCCCGGGAGCCGGAUUGAUCACAUUGACGUCAAAAACUUCGCGACGACCACGAAAAUCGCGGGUGACGCAGACCGGGCCGUCAAGGCCAUGGCAAACCGUCCAAAGGGCACCAACACUCUUGAUCACUCUCACGACAUUGCCUUCCUCGUCAAACAGCCGCAAGUCGCGGCCCUCGUUGCUGGCCUCCUUGCCCGAGGAGCUGGUGGCAAGGAGGAGGUGCGGCUCGACCCGGGACUUGUGCGCGGCGAGGAACGCUGGGCUGGAGACGACGGCAUGCCACCCCCUGGACAACGACGGCAUGCAACGCUGGGCUGGAGACGACGGCAUGCCACCCCCUGGACAACGACGGCAUGCAACGCUGGGCUGGAGACGACGGCAUGCCACCCCCUGGACAACGACGGCAUGCAACGCUGGGCUGGAGACGACGGCAUGCCACCCCCUGGACAACGACGGCAUGCAACGCUGGGCUGGAGACGACGGCAUGCCACCCCCUGGACAAGCACCGGAAUCUGCAGACGGACUUCACCGGCGUCCAUGAGAGUAUUUCGGAGAUCAGGUCGUCUGGUAAACACGUCAGCAUCGUCGGCGGCAGAGACAUCCGUAGGUUUUGUUAUCGGUAAAUAAAAACACUCAGAUCGUGGAGCCAUCUGCACGAUAUUUAUGCCUGGAAGAGGGGGCCGCAAUGGGCCCAGAAAUCGAGAAGGGCUCGGAGUCGCGUUGUAUACCAGCUUUUUUUUUUUCUCUUUGGUUGUAUUACCAACUCUAGAAACACAUUGGGUUACGAUAUUUUA